GACGUAGGGCGCGAGCGUUGUCCGGAUUUAUUGGGCGUAAAGAGCUCGUAGGCGGUUUGUCGCGUCUGGUGUGAAAAUCCAGGGCUUAACCCUGGACCCGCAUCGGGUACGGGCAGACUAGAGUGCGGUAGGGGAGAUCGGAAUUCCUGGUGUAGCGGUGAAAUGCGCAGAUAUUGGGAGGAACACCAGUGGCGAAGGCGGCUCACUGGACCGGAACUGACGCUGAGGCGCGAAAGCGUGGGGAGCAAACGGG
rnacentral:rRNA from 1 species